CCUACGGGAGGCAGCAGUGGGGAAUAUUGCACAAUGGGCGCAAGCCUGAUGCAGCGACGCCGCGUGAGGGAUGACGGCCUUCGGGUUGUAAACCUCUUUCAGUAGGGAAGAAGCGAAAGUGACGGUACCUGCAGAAGAAGCGCCGGCUAACUACGUGCCAGCAGCCGCGGUAAUACGUAGGGCGCAAGCGUUAUCCGGAAUUAUUGGGCGUAAAGAGCUCGUAGGCGGUUUGUCGCGUCUGCCGUGAAAGUCCGGGGCUCAACUCCGGAUCUGCGGUGGGUACGGGCAGACUAGAGUGAUGUAGGGGGGACUGGAAUUCCUGGUGUAGCGGUGAAAUGCGCAGAUAUCAGGAGGAACACCGAUGGCGAAGGCAGGUCUCCGGGCAUUAACUGACGCUGAGGAGCGAAAGCAUGGGGAGCGAACAGGAUUGGAUACCCUGGUAGUCCAUGCCGUAAACGUUGGGCACUAGGUGUGGGGGACAUUCCACGUUUUCCGCGCCGUAGCUAACGCAUUAAGUGCCCCGCCUGGGGAGUACGGCCGCAAGGCUAAAACUUAAGGAAUUGACGG
rnacentral:rRNA from 1 species